AUUGAUGGGCGGGUGCCCCGGGCGGAGGGGGGCACAGACGUGCCAGCUUGUGCAGGCUGCCCGGGGAUUGUGGAUUGUGCCCGCGGGUUUACCCUCUUAACCCCGGGACCGACUGCGGCGUGCGACACCUCGGAGCACAAAUCCGAUGGAAUGCUGCCGGCAAACAGCCCUGGAGCAAACUGGGAGGCAAAAGCACAGGAACACCUGUGUCGGAUGGCCCGGGAGGGUUUUGGUGCUGCGGGAGGCCCUGGGAGUGCUGCUCAGAGGAAGGAAGAAGUUUUAUUUCAGGGAAGAGAAUUAAAAACCAAACAAAGCAAAGCAACCCCGCAGCAGCUGCAGGGAAAAUGCACAUCUGCAACCGUGGGGUGUGAGGAGAUGGGGCCAAGAAUGUGAGUGCUGGCACCACACAGGGGAAGGGAUCUGAGGAAGCACAAAGAACAUUAAACUCUUCUAGUUUUUAAAGGAUCAAAGCUGAAACACCUGCUUUGUGCCUGCCCAAAACACUCUGUUUCCAUGUGGGGCUCUCUUGGUCUGGAUUAGCCACAGCACUGUUGACUCAUGAAGGAUUUUAGUGCUCAUUUGCUGACCCAAAGCCUCAAAAUAGGAUCAAAUAUAAUUCUCCUGAAUCAAAAAACUGCUCCACACCAUUCCUAACACCAAGUGUGGAGUGGUGGCUGUGAGCCAUGGUGGUCACCCCAGUGUGGAGGUCCCUGAUGCCCAGCAGAGCUCUCCCCAACUCCACCAGGAUCAGCUGGAGCUCUUCAUCCCAUCCCCACGAAGGGGAGAGCACCUGGCAGGCUCCCCACUCCCCAGUUAAGCAGGAAGGGCCCUUUGGGGCCACACUGGUGGCUCUGAGCACCCCAAAGGGGACAGGCAGCUGUGUCUGCCUCCCCACAGCCCCGCUGCCCACGCAGGGAGGGGACAGUGCUGUGACACCCCAGCUCCCCCAAGGAAAGGUGAGUGCCAGCAGCUGGGAAGACAUCGGUGCACCCCAGGCCUUUGCACUGCAAUUGUCAACCUGUGGUCAUUAGCUUUAGGUUUUUCCUUUUUUUUUUUUUUUUUUUAUUGUGUAAACAGAUAACCAUUUUCUCUCACAA